GAACAUUGAAACUGGCUAGGGAAAAUGAUUGGAUAGAAAAUAUUAUUCUAUUCAUUUAUCCCCAGCCUACAAAAUGAAAAAA
ensembl:miRNA